UUCCUCUUUCGAACUGCUUUCUCAAAGAAUGGAGGUGUUCGUUAAGAAUGGCGUUUCGGUUCACCACGAGGUUCUGCCGUAAUCACUACUGCAGAGGUUGGGUGGUGCAAAAGACUAUUCUCGGAUGGAUGAAAUGUCCUGCCAUAAUGCUCAUUGAGAUGGGCUGAGUGAGCCUUCUGUA